AUCAAUCUUCUAAUUUCCUCCACUGAUUCCUUAAUCCUCCAUGGAUAGACCAACUGUUAUUAAUACAGUUUCGAAGGAGUAGAGAAUCAGUCUCGGUAAUGAUGAGAUUAUGACCAUUAUUAAUACACCAUCUAAGUCCAAAGAGGAACGCGUCUGAUUCUGCAGUGUUGUUGGUGCCUUUUCCAAGUGGGAGGAUGAAGGCCAUCAAGCAUGUGCCCAUGGAAUCUCUCACUAUUACGCCACCUCCUGUAGAAUUUCCAACACAUGAACCAUCAGAGUUCAUUUUCACAAAUAAGAGCGGGGGUUUCAACCACCUCACAGGGACAGAGCUAGAUCAACAAUGCUAAGUUCCAUGAGCUUCAAUAAAUUCUCCUAGUUCUCAGGUAUGUUCAAAUUUGUAAAAGUUUUCUUCGACAAUUGACAUAUGUUGAAAGAUAUGAGGGACGUAGAUCUAAUGAUAGAGGGCUUUUCUUCAUCAUAUCUAGAGUUACACCUUGAUCUCCAUAGUUCCCACAUUAAAAUAGGAGGGAUAAUUUUUACAACAUAGGCAACAACAAGAUUUUUGGCAGUACAAUUCCAGCAUCUUUGAUUGACCGGGCUUCCAUUGAAUGGUGGUAGGGUGAUCAUUUAUACAGUAUUUUGCUUUGAGAAAAUUGACCCAAAGGGAAUUAGAAGUUCUAAACUUCCACCAUUGCUUAGCAGUGAAAGCUUUGUAGGUAUCCUCUAGUUUCCUGAAAUUAGAACCACCUUCUCUAUAGGGGUAACUUAAGUUAUCCCAAGAGAUCCAAUGAUAUUUACCC
rnacentral:lncRNA from 1 species